GCUGGGCAUAGUGGCGGGUGCCUGUAAUCCCAGCUACUUGGGAGGCUGAGGCAGGAGAAUCGCUUGAACCUGGGAGGCGGAGGUUGCAGUGAGCCAAGAUUGAGCCACUGCACUCCAGCCCAGGUGACAGAGUGAGACUCCGUCUCAG
rnacentral:SRP_RNA from 2 species